AUCCAGCUGAUGAGUACCAAAUAGGACGAAAUGCACGUUCUAGAU
rnacentral:hammerhead_ribozyme from 1 species